rnacentral:rRNA from 1 species
AGGGCACCACCAGGAGUGGAGCCUGCGGCUUAAUUUGACUCAACACGGGGAAACUUACCCGGCCUGGACACUGGAAGGAUUGACAGAUUGAGAGCUCUUUCUUGAUUCAGUGGGUGGUGGUGCAUGGCCGUUCUUAGUUGGUGGAGCGAUUUGUCUGGUUAAUUCCGAUAACGAACGAGACUCUAGCCUAUUAAAUAGGCUCCCGGCUUUUAAACGCCGGGAGGACUUCUUAGAGGGACAGGUGGCGGUUCAGCCGCACGAAAGAGAGCAAUAACAGGUCUGUGAUGCCCUUUGUUGUCCGGGGCCGCACGCGCGCUACACUGAAGAGAUCAGCGUGCUUUAUGUUCCUGCUCCGACCGGAGUGGGGAACCCAGUGAACCUUCUUCGCGAUUGGGAUAGAAGAUUGUAAUUAUUCUUCUUGAACGAGGAAUUCCCAGUAAAUGCGAGUCAUAAGCUCGCGUUGAUUACGUCCCUGCCCUUUGUACACACCGCCCGUCGCUACUACCGAUUGAACGAUUU